UACGUAGGUGGCAAGCGUUGUCCGGAUUUACUGGGCGUAAAGGGCGUGCAGGCGGUCUGUUAAGUGCAGGGUGAAAGCUCCCGGCUCAACUGGGAGAGGUCCUUGCAUACUGGCGGACUUGAGGGGGGUAGAGGAAAGUGGAAUUCCCGGUGUAGUGGUGAUAUGCGUAGAUAUCGGGAGGAACACCUGUGGCGAAGGCGGCGCUCUGGAACAUUUCUGACGCUGAGGCUCGAAAGCGUGGGGAGCAAACAGG
rnacentral:rRNA from 1 species